rnacentral:rRNA from 1 species
UUAGAGUUUGAUCCUGGCUCAGAAUCAACGCUGGCGGCGUGCCUAACACAUGCAAGUCGAACGCGAAAGCCCGCAAGGGUAAGUAGAGUGGCGCACGGGUGAGUAACACGUGGACAACCUGCCUUCGAGUGGGGAAUAACCUUCCGAAAGGAGGGCUAUACCGCAUAACAUCUCGGAGCACAAGUUCUGGGGUUGAAAAGAGCAAUUUGCUCGAAGAGGGGUCCGCGCCUGAUUAGCUAGUUGGUGAGGUAAUGGCUCACCAAGGCUUCGAUCAGUAGCCGUCCUGAGAGGGAGCACGGCCACACUGGAACUGAGACACGGUCCAGACCCCUACGGGAGGCAGCAGUGGGGAAUUUUUGGCAAUGGGCGAAAGCCUGACCAAGCAACGCCGCGUGGGUGAUGAAGUAUCUUGGUACGUAAAACCCUUUCGGCAGGGACGAACUCAAUGACGGUACCUGCGGAAGAAGCCCCGGCUAACUCCGUGCCAGCAGCCGCGGUAAUACGGGGGGGGCAAGCGUUGUUCGGAAUUACUGGGCGUAAAGGGCGCGUAGGCGGUUGGAUAAGUCAGCUGUGAAAACCACGGGCUUAACUCGUGGCCUGCAGUUGAGACUGUCUGGCUUGAGUGUG